rnacentral:snRNA from 1 species
AAGUGUUAAACUUAUGAGCAAGGAAAAUAACUAUCUGGGGUGAUGCCCGAAUCCUAACUGCUGACACCAGACGAAUUUUUGAGUGGGCAAAGGUUGCCCCUAAGGUGACUCACCUACUUUGCAGGAUGCCUGGGAGUCACUAUCUGCCCG